rnacentral:rRNA from 1 species
CACAUGUGACGAGUUUGAUCAUGGCUCCGAACGAACGCUGGCGGCAGGCUUAACACAUGCAAGUCGAACGCUCGUAGCAAUACGGGAGUGGCGGACGGGUGAGUAACGCGUGGGAACGUGCCCUGAGGUACGGAAUAACUGCGGGAAACUGCAGCCAAUACCGUAUGAGCCCCGUGAGGGGGAAAGAUUUAUCGCCUUAGGAGCGGCCCGCGUCGGAUUAGCUAGUUGGUGGGGUAACGGCUUACCAAGGCUUCGAUCCGUAGCUGGUCUGAGAGGACGAUCAGCCACACUGGGACUGAGACACGGCCCAGACUCCUACGGGAGGCAGCAGUGGGGAAUCUUGCGCAAUGGGGGCAACCCUGACGCAGCCAUGCCGCGUGAAUGAUGAAGGCCUUAGGGUUGUAAAGUUCUUUUGCCCGUGACGAUGAUGACGGUAACGGGAGAAUAAGCUCCGGCUAACUUCGUG